rnacentral:rRNA from 1 species
GAUGAACGCUGGCGGCGUGCCUAAUACAUGCAAGUCGAGCGAACAGAUGAGGAGCUUGCUCCUCUGACGUUAGCGGCGGACGGGUGAGUAACACGUGGGUAACCUACCUAUAAGACUGGGAUAACUUCGGGAAACCGGAGCUAAUACCGGAUAAUAUAUGGAACCGCAUGGUUCUAUAGUGAAAGACGGUUUUGCUGUCACUUAUAGAUGGAUCCGCGCCGCAUUAGCUAGUUGGUAAGGUAACGGCUUACCAAGGCAACGAUGCGUAGCCGACCUGAGAGGUUGAUCGGCCAACCUGAAACUGGGAAAGGGCCCAGAUCCCUACGGGAGGAAGAAGUGGGGAACCUUCGGAAAUGGGGGAAAGCCUGAGGGAGAAACGCGGCGUGAGUGAGGAAGGUCUUCGGAUGGUAAACCCCUGUAAUAGGGAAAAACAAACUGGGAAAGUACCUAUGAAGGCUUUGACGGUACUAAACAAGAAAGCAACGGCUAACUACGU